GCUUGUCUCAAAGAUUAAGCCAUGCAUGUCUCAGUAUAAGUUCCUGUACGGCGAAACUGCGAAUGGCUCAUUAAAACAGUUACAGUUUAUUUGAUGGUCGUUCCUUACAUGGAUAACUGUGGUAAUUCUAGAGCUAAUACAUGCACCCGUGCCCGACUUUGUGGAAGGGUUGUGUUUAUUAGUUACAGAACCAGCCCAGGCUCUGCCUGGUCUUGUGGUGAUUCAUAAUAACCGAACGAAUCGUAUGGCAUCAGCUGGCGAUGAAUCAUUCAAAUUUCUGCCCUAUCAACUUUCGAUGGUACGGUAUUGGCCUACCAUGGUUACCACGGGUAACGGGGAAUUAGGGUUCGGUUCCGGAGAGGGGGCCUGAGAAAUGGCCACCACAUCCAAGGAAGGCAGCAGG
rnacentral:rRNA from 1 species